rnacentral:lncRNA from 1 species
AUGACUGUUUUGCCUACCAAGUGCUGGUCAGACACUAGCAUGUAUUUACUCAGAUAUGGGAUUUUCCACCUUUACAUUAUAUGUGCUCCUAAUUCUCACAGUAGUGAUUCCAACCAAGAUCCUGGUGAUGUGCAUACAGUUUUGCCAGGAAAGCCCAGAGAGCAAUGCUUCAGUCUCAGUCAGGAGAUUUAUGCCAAUUCAGUGAAUACCUAUUAUUUAUUCUCCAGUCACUGUCCGUUGCUUUACAACACUGUUACCCACUAUGUAAAUGCAUCUUUUGGAAGUGUCAAUCUGCCUGGGGGUAGCGAGGCCCUACAGAGAGAUCUGGACAGGUUGGAUAGCUGGGCUGAAGCCCAUGGAAUGAGGUUCAACAAGGCCAAAUGCUGGGUCCUGCACUUUGGCCACAGCAACCCCUGGCAACGCUACAGGCUUGGGGCAGAGUGGCUGGAAGACUGUUUAGAGGAAAUGGGCCUGGGUCUAUUGAUUGAUGCUCGGCUGAACAUGAGCCAGCAGUGUGCCCAGGUAGCCAAGAAGGCCAAUGGCAUCCUGGCUUGCAUCCAAAAUGGUGUUGCCAGCAGGAACAGGGAAGUGAUUGUCCCCCUGUACUCAGCACUGGUGAGGCCGCACCUCCAGUACUGUGUCCAAUUUUGGGCCCCUCACUGCAAGAAAGACAUUGAGGCCCUGAAGUGGGUUCAAAGACGGGCAACAAAGUUGGUGAGGGUUCUGGAGCACAGGCCUUAUGAGGAGCGGCUGGGAUUGUUCGGUCUGGAGAAGAGGAGGCUCAGGGGAGACCUUAUUGCUCUCUAUAACUACCUGAAGGAAGGUUGCAGUGAGCUGGGGGUCAGCCUCUUCUCUCAUGUAACUGGUGAUAAGACUAGAGGGAAUGGCUUCAAGCUGCACCAGGAGAGAUUUAGGCUGGAUGUUAGGAAAGACUACUUUUCUGAAAGAGUGGUCAGGCACUGGAAUGGGCUGCCCAGGGAGGUGGUGGAGUCAUCAAGGAGAAGGUGUUCAAGGAACGUUUGGAUUUUGUGUAGAGGGACAUGGUUUAAUGAGAGCUGUUGGUGA